rnacentral:rRNA from 1 species
UGCAAGUCGAGCGGUAAGGCCCUUCGGGGUACACGAGCGGCGAACGGGUGAGUAACACGUGGGUGAUCUGCCUCGCACUUCGGGAUAAGCCUGGGAAACUGGGUCUAAUACCGGAUAUGACCUGCUGUCGCAUGGCGGUGGGUGGAAAGAUUUAUCGGUGCGAGAUGGGCCCGCGGCCUAUCAGCUUGUUGGUGGGGUAAUGGCCUACCAAGGCGACGACGGGUAGCCGGCCUGAGAGGGCGACCGGCCACACUGGGACUGAGACACGGCCCAGACUCCUACGGGAGGCAGCAGUGGGGAAUAUUGCACAAUGGGCGAAAGCCUGAUGCAGCGACGCCGCGUGAGGGAUGACGGCCUUCGGGUUGUAAACCUCUUUCGACAGGGACGAAGCGCAAGUGACGGUACCUGUAGAAGAAGCACCGGCCAACUACGUGCCAGCAGCCGCGGUAAUACGUAGGGUGCGAGCGUUGUCCGGAAUUACUGGGCGUAAAGAGCUUGUAGGCGGUUUGUCGCGUCGUCCGUGAAAACUUGGGGCUCAACCCCAAGCUUGCGGGCGAUACGGGCAGACUUGAGUACUGCAGGGGAGACUGGAAUUCCUGGUGUAGCGGUGAAAUGCGCAGAU